CAGAGUAUGUGAGAGGGACUAUGUUUUCCUCUUCGUUCUCUUUCCCAUUUCUCUACUUUCCUUCCCACACCGCCCCUUCCCGAGACCCGCCUUCCCCUUUGGAUUUUCUUUCCGCAAGACCAUUUCUCCGCAUCACUUCGGUGCAUUUUUUUUGUUGCUGCCUUUCCUUAAGCUCCUCACUUCUGAUGGAGCAAAUAAAAAAGGAUCACGAGAGGGUUCAGCCGGUCAGACAAAUAUGAAA
ensembl:ncRNA F16H9.4 ncRNA